rnacentral:rRNA from 1 species
GACGAACGCUGGCGGCGUGCUUAACACAUGCAAGUCGAACGGUGAAGCGCCUUCCUUUUUGGUGGGUGUGGAUGAGUGGCGAACGGGUGAGUAACACGUGAGUAACCUGCCCCCUUCUUCUGGAUAACCGCAUGAAAGUGUGGCUAAUACGGGAUAUUCUGGGUCUGUCGCAUGAUGGGUCUGGGAAAGAUAUUGUUUCGGUGGGGGAUGGGCUCGCAGCCUAUCAGCUUGUUGGUGGGGUGAUGGCCUACCAAGGCGGUGACGGGUAGUCGGCCUGAGAGGGUGGACGGUCACACUGGGACUGAGACACGGCCCAGACUCCUACGGGAGGCAGCAGUGGGGAAUAUUGCACAAUGGGCGCAAGCCUGAUGCAGCGACGCCGCGUGAGGGAUGGAGGCCUUCGGGUUGUGAACCUCUUUCGCCAGUGAAGCAGGCCUGCCUCGUUUGUGGGUGGGUUGACGGUAGCUGGAUAAGAAGCGCCGGCUAACUACGUG